UUGAAGAGUUUAGGGACUUGCCCUUGCCUU
rnacentral:piRNA from 1 species